UCUCUGGUUUGAUCCUGCCAGUAGUCAUAUGCUUGUCUCAAAGAUUAAGCCAUGCAUGUCUAAGUAUAAGCAAUUAUACAGCGAAACUGCGAAUGGCUCAUUAUAUAAGUUAUCGUUUAUUUGAUAGUACCUUACUACAUGGAUAACCGUGGUAAUUCUAGAGCUAAUACAUGCUAAAAAUCCCAACUUCGGAAGGGAUGUAUUUAUUAGAUUAAAAACCAAUGCCCUCCGGGGCUCACUGGUGAUUCAUAAUAACUUCUCGAAUCGCAUGGCCUUGCGCCGGCGAUGGUUCAUUCAAAUUUCUUCCCUAUCAACUUUCGAUGUUUGGGUAUUGGCCAAACAUGGUUGCAACGGGUAACGGAGGGUUAGGGCUCGACCCCGGAGAAGGAGCCUGAGAAACGGCUACUACAUCCAAGGAAGGCAGCAGGCGCGCAAAUUACCCAAUCCCGACUCGGGGAGGUAGUGACAAUAAAUACUGAUACAGGGCUCUUUUGGGUCUUGUAAUUGGAAUGAGUACAAUUUAAAUCCCUUAACGAGGAACAAUUGGAGGGCAAGUCUGGUGCCAGCAAGCCGCGGGG
rnacentral:rRNA from 1 species